GACGAACGCUGGCGGCGUGCUUAACACAUGCAAGUCGAACGGAAAGGCCCUGCUUGCAGGGUACUCGAGUGGCGAACGGGUGAGUAACACGUGGGUGAUCUGCCCUGCACUUCGGGAUAAGCCUGGGAAACUGGGUCUAAUACCGGAUAGGAGCCAUUUUUAGUGUGAUGGUUGGAAAGUUUUUUCGGUGUAGGAUGAGCUCGCGGCCUAGCAGCUUGUUGGUGGGGUAAUGGCCUACCAAGGCGGCGACGGGUAGCCGGCCUGAGAGGGUGGACGGCCACAUUGGGACUGAGAUACGGCCCAGACUCCUACGGGAGGCAGCAGUGGGGAAUAUUGCACAAUGGGCGCAAGCCUGAUGCAGCGACGCCGCGUGGGGGAUGACGGCCUUCGGGUUGUAAACUCCUUUCGCUAGGGACGAAGCUUUUUGUGACGGUACCUAGAUAAGAAGCACCGGCUAACUACGUG
rnacentral:rRNA from 1 species